AUCGCUUCUCGGCCUUUUGGCUAAGAUCAGUGUAGUAAUCUGUUCUUAUCAUUUAAUAUCUGAUAUGUCCUCUAUCAGGGACAACAUAUUAAUGGAUUUUAAGCAAUGGGAGUUGAAAAAGGGGCUUGCUCCGUUCACACGUCCACUCCACGCAUCGACCCCGUACUGCAGCUCGCUGGGAAACGUGCACCCAUC